CAAUUUUGGUAAAGGAUCCUAAUAUUAGGUACUGAGAAGAAGGUAUAUUCUUUUGUGUUUGGUGAAAUGUUUUAUAUAUGUCUCUUGGGUCCAUUUGAUUCAUAAUGUAUGUUAGUUUCAUUAUUUUGCUGUGUAGUUUUUGUCUGAGUAUCCUGACAAUUGGUGAGAAUGGGGUGUUGAAGUCUCCCACUAAUAACGUAUGGGGUUUGAUGUGUAAUUUAAGCCUGAGCAAUAUUUCUUUUACAACUGUUGUGUCUCCUUGUCUUAGGGCAUGGAUAUUCAGAACUGAGAUAUCAUCUUGAUGAGCAUGAAGUGUCCUUCCCUUUCUCUUUUAAUUUUGGUUGAAAGUUUGUCUUACUAGAUGUUAGAACGGCUACUCUAGCUUGACACUUGGAUCCAUUUGCUUGGAAAAGUUUUUUUUUUUUUUUUCUAGGCCUUUACUCUGAGGUAAUGGCUGAGGGGUAUUUCCUGUAUAUAGUACAAUGAUGAAUCCUGUUUGCCCAUCCAUUCUGUUAUCCUAUGUCAUUUUAUUGGGGGAGUUGAGUCCAAUUGUUUGGGACCCACAUGAAGACCAAGAUAAACAUCUGCUGCAUAUGUGAUGGAAGGCAUAGUUCUGGCCUAUGUCUGCACUUUGGUUCAUGUUUCAGACUCUGAGAGGCCCAAGUAUCCAGGUUAGUUGACUCUGUUGGACUUCUAUGGAGUUCCUAUCCUCUUUGGGCCUGAAAUCCUUCCUCUUAGUCUUCCAAAACUCCCAAGCUCCAUCCAAUUUGGCUGUGGCCAUUUGUAUCUGUCUGAGUUAGCUGCUAGGUGGACCUGCUAGAAGAACAACUUGGACCUAUCUACAAACAUAAAAAAGUAUCAUUAAUAUUGUCAAAGAUUGUUUCUUGCCCAUGGGAUGGGUCUCAAGUUGAGCUGAAUAGUGGUUCACCAUACAACCAUUCUCUGCUCCUUCCACCUUGCUUACAUUUCUUAUAGUCAGGAUAAAUUUUUGGUUGAAAGAUUUUUGGAUAUGUUGGUAUCUCUAUAGCUACACUGGGAUUCCUGCCUGGAUACAGGUGGUGUCCUCUUCAUGAUAAUCACAGGGAAUCAUCAGUGUUUGUUUUGGCCAUGCUUGGUUUCAACAAUCUGUUCUGAUUGCUCAGCAGCUCCUUUGACGUCCCUUCACUGGGGUUGUGGUUCCCUUCACUGUUCUGGUGACUGAUGACUGCCCUGAGGUCAACACACACAACUGCAGAUGAGAGUUUUCACAUCACUGACACCCAAGCUAUUGUCCUCUCUACUCCUGGUUCGACCGUGUACCUUCCAGAUUCUUCAGAUAAAGGAGAUUUCAGGUUGUCUCACCAGGUGAUCUGCAGCUAAGGAGUAGUUUCCUCUCACUUGCAAGGUAUUGUCUAAAUCCUGGUGGGUUCCUAAAAUGCAGCAACUGGAAGUUCCUCUAGGAAUGCUCAUCAGGCUACUAUAAUUUGCGUUUUAUUAUGUUCUUUCACAAAUAUGCCUGAAUGUUCCAAUUUUAGAGACUCCUUCAAUUGGCCAUCAACCCUCUGAUGUGUUGUCUCUGCCCCAUUGAAUUUCAUCUUUCCCAGUCUGCACAUGAGCUCUUCCAAAUAACUUGAGCUGUGUGUCUACCUUGAUCUAUUUUGUUCAUCCUCAUCAUAUGCUUGCUGUACCAUAAACAAGUAUGUAUAUCAAUGGUUACAAAAUGAACAAUGUUGUGUGGUGGACACCAAGUCAGAUGUCUUCCAUUGAGCAAGUUUGAAAACUUACCAUGACACUGGAAAUCUGUGAUUUGUUGUUGGGAGCGAUGUCCUUGAAACCCUCCAUUAUUGAUGUUAAUAUUAUGGUUAGAGUUAAGUAUGACUGGGUUCAUGGAAAAUCCCCAGCCAGCUGCAGAAGACUAAUACAAAUCUGGUGGUCAGGAUGAAUAAUGAUAUGAUAAAGUUGUGACCCUGUUGAGAAAUACAUCUGACAUCAAGAUGACCUGUAACCUUUCUGAGAAACCAAUAUCCUGCUGACUAAUGAUAUGACAAACCUGUAACCUUUCUGAAAAACAACAUUCUGUUGACAUCAGCUAACCACACGAGUACUGUGUCCUUGGCCUGCAUAAAGGUUUCCCACUUACCCCCUCUCUCUGAUACCUGUUAUGGUAUAAAACCAGCCUUGGGAAAAAAUAUAAUUGUUGCCUUGAUCAGACUCGUGUCUUGGUGUCCUUCACGUCUCUUGUCCCCCAUUCUCUUCCAGGUACCCUCUACACCCUCGUUGACAAUUUGUGAUAAUGAUCUCAAGGUAAUCAAGUAGUGGGGCAUAGAUCCACUGUACAUGUAAAGUUGUAAUGACUGGAAACUGUCCAGCUGGUUGCAAUUUCCAGGUUGUGAAGGGUCAUGCCAGAUACUGAAGUUUCAACUGCCUGGGAUGAGCUUCAAUAUCCUGGAUGCAGAAAUUGAAAGAUGUUUUGGUGUUUGUGAUCAUUUAAAGGAAGGGGUCUCAGUAUACUCAAGAUACUACUAUGAGAUCAUGUUUUCACAAACUCUUAAAACUAAGGACAACAUAAUGUCCUAACUUAGUGAUUUCUCACGAGUUAAAUGACUUCUGUAUUUCUUAAAAUCAGUGUCAAAUUAUGUAAUGAUAUGGAUUUGUUCACUGUAACAUAACACUUUGCCUAAGGUGCAAAUGUUCUAAAUCUUUCUGAAUUUAGUAUCAUUGUUCAAAUAUAAUGCUUUGGCUUGGAGUAAAGACUUUCUCAUUCUUAAGCACUUCAAAAUGAUUUUCCAGAACACUUUUGCAAUUUCUAAGCUGUACAUAAGCACCCUAGGUUAGUUAGCUCAUUAAGGCUUUAGCCUCAUUAUUUGUAAAAAAUGGACUCACACAUGAAAUUAAGAUGAAGAUAAUACCUCAGUAAAGCCAAUUACUGCGAUUUCUUUUAGGAUGAAUGUUCUGGGGUGUGUAUGACAUUACUGGCCUGUAAAUUAUUUUAACAAACAUAACUCCAAUGUAAUUCAUUCCUUGGGGUAUAUAGAGUGAAGUGUUAAGGUACAACAGGAGGAUCUGUAGUAUUUGCCCAUAUGCACCACUGUUUUGACAGUUAUUAUAGUUUGGUUGAAUCAAGGAGUAUUAGUAUGAGUUAAGAGCCAUGCAGGGACUCAGUCCAAUGGAUGAUGUCUCUCACCGACAACUUCGAAACCAUAUUUUCACUUAGUCUUUGGUGAAUAUUUCUCUCACUCAUUCUUGAAUUCAAGAAGAGAACAGUCUGAUCUCUCAGGCUUGCAAAGACUCUACAUUCUUCUGUGUGGAGCCAUUUUAGCUUAACCUAGUACUAUUAUGGAAAGGAUUAAACACGUUAAACACAAUCUUCCCUCUUUUAGUUAAUAUAAAUGCAAUCUCUCUAAUACAAUGAUUCAAAUGUUCUAAUGCAACAGCAGUGUCAUAAAAUUCAAAGUAUUCGAAUGCAGGCAGACUCACCUAGAUACAAAGGAAUUGUGUCUCAGUCCUAAGGCCAUUGGAAAUAGAUAUUUUCCUAUGGUAUUAAGCAACCCAUGUGAGAGGCACAUUUUCCAGGGAGAUGAUGGAUUAUAUAUGUGUAGACACACACACACACACACACACACACACACACACACACACACACACACAUACACACACAUACACACACACACACAGUGUGUAUAUUCAUCUAAGCAGUCCAAGUAGAAACUGAAAAACAAGUGUAAUUUGUUGAAACAAUGAGCUUUAUUGGAAUUACAGGACUAUGGAAAAGGAAUUGUGACCAGAGCCAAAGGGACCAAAAGAAAGUAGAAAUUCUGAAAUGUGAAAACAUCCUAUGGUACAGACUGUGAAUCCUGGACAUUCAUAGGAAACUGCAUAUCUGUAAACAUAUUUACAGAAAAAAAGACAUCGUAUCUUGGUGUCUCAAUUUGUCAAAUCCAUUUUCAAGAAAAAUACCUGAGUUUUUCAUUUAAGAUAAACAUAUAGAAUGCUAUCGGUUUCAUUAUCUAUUUUGAGAGGUGCAUUACCCGCUUUAAUCAGUUUCCCUAUUCAGUGGAUUAGUUCAGCCUUCUGGAAACUGUUAAAACAAUUUGACAUUAUUCUGGGUUCCCUAUUUGAUUUCAUAAUGAAUUAUUUAAGGAUAAACAAUUAAAAAGUUGC